AAAAACCAGAUUUCUUUUUUUUCUUUUUUUCUUUUUUAAAUUCCCCUUUCAGCUGAUAAUGUUUUGAAUUCUAUGACUUUAGGGGUUAGAUUUUUCUUUCAUUAACACUUUGUAUGCUUCCCUGUUUUAUAUUUAGACAAGAUGUGUAUCAUCAUGAACCAAAUAUAUAUUGUCUGGUAAUAUGUGGAGACACUACAUUGUCAAAAGGCCAUGGCAUGAGAUGACAGAAAGACAUGGCAAUAAAGAAAGGGGGGUGGGAAGGGUAGCUUGAGAAUAUAAAUGCUGUACGAAUAGCUAAACCCUUAUGCUUAGAGACAAAAAAAGUGUGAUCACUGCCUCAAACAUGACCAAAAUAAGGAUAAAAUUGUGGCCAGAAACUCGUGGACAGAGGACAGAUCUUAUGCAUUCUCCAAAUCUCUGAGAACUAAAGGUUCAAGAAAUGUCACAUUUUCCUAAAGCUUAUCUCAUCACAGUCAGUCAGUCCAAGAUGCCAUUGGGAUAUACUUCAGCAUACCCUCUACUCCUCCUCUAUUUCAUCUUUGCUAACAUCCCCGGACUCUCACUCUCCAUACAUUUCCAUAUAACCACAAUCCUGGUUUACUGCAUUCCCUAACAACUACAGAUUCUCAUAUUCAUUGUCUACUGGGUCCUACAGAGCAUGCUUGAGAUCAAUAAAAUUCCCAUUCCCUCCAACCACCCAAUUCUUCUUUAAAUAGCCCAUUAAGGUGUUUUUGUUGUUGUUGUUGUUGCUGUUUUUCUCUUUCAAACCAAAGUCACACUUGAGGUUUCUGUUUCCCCUAUAGAUCUUGUAAGUGGUAGCUUCUCCUCUUCCUCUUGGCUCGUCUUUGGGGCCUGAAAGUCAUACAAAUUCUUAAAACCUUGUUCUUAGUUUCAGUCUAGUUUCUUCUCUCGAUUGCCUUUCCCACUCAACUAAUCAUGUCCUCCAGUCUUCAUGCCCCAUUGACUGUAUUUUAAAGGAGAUUGGCAGUCUUUCCACUUUUUCUCACCUUUGACUUGGGUUAUUGUAACUUUAAGUAAAUCUGUCUUUCCCACUUCCAUUCCUACCUCACCUCUUGAAUUUUUCUUCUUUCUUUCUUCCUCUUGUUCCCUUCCUUCUCUCUCCCCUCUCCUCUCUUCUCUCCCUCUCUUUCUUGAAAUGAUCAUAUGCAACACAGUCUCAUCUUGAAUUCACUGUAUUAACCAAAAUUGUCUUUGAACAUGGAUUUUCCUACCUCCACCUACAAAAAGAACUGGGACUCUACAAUCUAUAUGUCUUUAGGAGGGAGCUUACUGAGUCCUAAUCAAACACUCUACUAAUUGAGCUAUAUUUCCAACUCCCGAGAGAUUUCUUUCCUUCUAUUGUUGACUUUAUUUUCCAGAAAACAAACCAGAGCUCAUCUUUGAUAAUCUGAACUAAAUCAUUACUGCAUACCUUUAGGCUAACAUGACCUCUCACUUAAUGGAGGAAUCCAUGAGGUACUGUGUUGUCUGAGUUUCUACCACUUCUAUGACCUCAUCUUUUCUGCUGCCGCCCCAAGAUUCUUCUUGUUACAUUCCCCCACACUAUACGUGGAACUAACCAAAGGAGCCCUGGUUCUUGGUUUCUGGAGGAGUUAUUCCCGCUAUCUGGUGUUCUCUUACCAAACAUUCUCUCUUUCUUAUUGUCUUCAGAGCUCCCCUCAAGUGUCAGACUAUCAUGAAUCCUCAUCUUCUCACCCUUCCACCUUGGUGUCCUUUAGUUUCUCUUUGAAACACAUAAUAUAAAUUCACGUAUUCUGUCAUUUAUCUCCUUCCCCACACAUGUCCCAAACAAAAGCUGCAAUAAAGGUUUUGAUUUUGUAUUUUAUUUUGGCAUCUUGUUCUAAACCUCUUUCUGGGAUUUAUACUUUUAUUUAUCAUUUUUAAUUUACUAUGAUUCAUUAUUUGUUGAAAAAUUACUGAAUCAUGUUAUUACUCUUGAAUUUUAAUCAAAUAGAGUUUUCACUUCCUUCACUAAAUGCUCCUCUACUUGAAAAAACAAACAAACAAACAAACAAACAAACAAAACCUUUACCAAACUGUAGAUGUAACAGAGAAAAGAAAGAGAACUUGGGAUAAUAAUACUGUGGUAUUUCAAAUUACAUUUUCAUUUGAGUGUCAUAUAUGAAUAAAAAUCAAAACAAACC
rnacentral:lncRNA from 1 species